UUUCUACUCCUUUCGUCCAAAAUUACUCGUCACAGAAAUGUAUGUAAUCUAGACGUAUUUUUAGUUCUAUAUACAUUCAUUUUUAUCCAUUUCCAUGACAAGUAAUUUUGAAUGGAGGGAGUAUUAA
rfam:Triticum urartu cultivar G1812 contig25526, whole genome shotgun sequence.